UGGGGAAUAUUGGGCAAUGGGAGCAACCCUGACCCAGCGACGCCGCGUGGGGGAAGACGGCCUUCGGGUUGUAAACCUCUUUUGUACGGGAAGAAGGAAGUGACGGUACUGUACGAAUAAGUCCCGGCUAACUACGUGCCAGCAGCCGCGGUAAUACGUAGGGGACGAGCGUUGUCCGGAAUUACUGGGCGUAAAGGGCGCGCAGGCUGUGCUGCAAGUCAGCUGUUAAAUGUCUGGGCUUAACCCGGGCAUGCGGUUGAGACUGCGGUGCUGGAGUGCUGUAGAGGCAAGUGGAAUUCCCAGUGUAGCGGUGAAAUGCGUAGAUAUUGGGAAGAACACCGGUGGCGAAGGCGACUUGCUGGGCAGCAACUGACGCUGAGGCGCGAAAGCCAGGGGAGCAAACGUG
rnacentral:rRNA from 1 species